AGCCGGAAGAGCGGGUCCCCGCUGGUGUUUGGGGCCCCCGGGCGGCUUGGAAGAGAAGGUGAGCUUUCAGAAAGCUUGUUCCCUCCCGGGAGGAGCCCGAGCCGAGCGUCUGGUCUCCUUAGGGAAUGGCGCUCGGCCAGACCGCUGCCCCGGUGUCACGGGAGGGACCGGGGGAUCGGAGGUAUUUUUCUGUGUGGAUUUCAGGGAAAGAUUUUCCAAUCCCACUGAAGACUUUUGAACUCUUCUUCACCCAGGUCUAAUUUAAUAGAGCUACUUAUGUUGCUUUCCUCGUUCAAAUCCAUUAUAUUACAAAAUUCCCUUCAAACAGUCAACCAGAAUUGUUCUUCUUGGUUCCUUCUCACGAAGUUUGUUGUAUUUUGGUUAUUUUAUUGCUUAAUGAAAGUGUCCUCGACACCUUUUUUUUUUCCUGUUGCAGAGAAAUUAAGAAAUUUAGAUUAAAACAUUUACCCAGCUCAUUUUCCCUUCGUUUCUGGGAGAAAAGCAAUUGAGAAAGCAUUCGAAUCUUCAGACUUUAGUUCAUGCUUGGAAGGAAGUUCUCGGAGCAGAAACACAAGAACAUCUGUCUUCUGGUGUAACAGUUUCUAGUAAUGUAUUUCAAUUGCCCUGCAUCCUGAAUGAUUAAGAUUCUUUAUCC
rnacentral:lncRNA from 1 species